AACCAAUUACCGACGUAAGGCGAGGUAUACCUGUAUUUGUGUUUAAAUGCUGUUGGAAGAAUUUCCUGAAUAUUUUUCCUGGUUGUCAUUAUUAAUAUUUUCCUUAUACAAAUGUUUAUGCUUGUUACAGUCAAGAUGUAAUUUUUGUUCAGAUUUUAAACAUAAUUCAGUUUACUCGGAAGUAAAAGGUAACCUUGAUGAUAUAUAUAUAGCUUACUUAUUUUCCUUAUUCCUGCUACUCAUUAUCAUUAUCAGACAUGGCUGAAGUCAGACAACUGAUACAAAGCAUCCUCCUCUUGGUUUUACCAAUUUUCUAUGGGUGGAUUGUCUUAUUGUUUACAGUUUAUAGAGCUAUUAAAAAUGGAAAGAAAUUCUUCAAAACUGAAAUAGUUGAUGCUCCAAAAGCUCUUUAUGAUCCUAAAUUGGGAAAACAUGGAUUCAUUGAACUGAAAAAUCAGGUAAAAUUUACUUUAUAAUUGAUUGAUCUUUCUAAAUAUUUAUAAAAUACAAGAUUUGUAAUACACAAAUUAACUAAACUGCAUUUAAACUGUAAUGUUAAAUGUCUUAAAAUUAUCUUCCAAUGUCAUAUCUCG